rnacentral:rRNA from 1 species
UACGGAGGGAGCUAGCGUUGUUCGGAAUUACUGGGCGUAAAGCGCACGUAGGCGGCUUUGUAAGUUAGAGGUGAAAGCCCGGAGCUCAACUCCGGAACUGCCUUUAAGACUGCAUCGCUUGAAUCCGGGAGAGGGAUGCGGAAUUCCAGGUGUAGCGGUGAAAUGCGUAGAUAUCUGGAGGAACACCGGUGGCGAAGGCGGCAUCCUGGACCGGUAUUGACACUGAAAAGCGAAAGCCAGGGGAGCAAACGGG